AAUCACGCUCGGCCUUCUCCUCUCCCGGGCGGCGCUCUCCCUGUGGCGGGGACCUGGGACGAGGGGGUGGGGUGGGGAGGGGAAGGCAGGAGGGGGCUGCCCUUCCGUUGCCCAUGCUAAAGGUUCCUGUGUAGGAAGCUGGACGCAGCCUGCUGGACUAGUAAUCUUCCUCCUCGCUGGGGCGCGGGGCACUGAAGGGAGGGAGAGACUUUCUCCUCCUUCCUGUUCCCCGGGACAGCUGUGCUCUCCGAAUCCUUCCCUUCUUCCCAGCCCACUUAUUCCCCGCUCGCCAAGCAUCUUCAACUAAAGAUGUCAAAGCACAAGCUCACUUCCCACGGAAGGUAGCAAUUACUAUUAUCUACUUGACAGCUACAAGAACCUAGGCACAGAGGUUAAGUGCUCUGCAAAUACUACCAGCCAGUGGUGGUUUUCCUGCCAGAACCAAGUUCUUGCCUUCCAGUGGACACCAUUGAUCUCUCAAGAUGAUUCUUUAAGUUAAAAAGCACGAAUCACAAAGGGCCUCAAAACCACAUUAAAAUUUAAGAUUGAUCUGCUCUUCUGCUUCUGAAUGUGAGAGCCUAUACUGGAUCUCUGAAGAAAAUAAAGAUGAGAUGAGGUUCUGAUCCCUUGGACUUCAUGAAGUUACGUGACAGAAAGUAUGAUUGUCUAGCCGAUACUUGACUGUGUGAAACCUUCAUCUACUCCGGAAUCCUGAGGCACAGACUCAGAGGCCCUCUGACUCACGAUUAGGGUUGUCAGGGUGAUGCAACAGCAAGACCAUAGCCUUUGGUGUCGGAAUACCAAGUUUUGAAGCUCAGUUUCCCCACUCACUAAUUUUCAGUGAGCACAUACAUAAUUUGAAAUCUGAAAAUGGACAAUAAUGCCUACCUACUUCAAAAUUUGGUUUGAGAAUCAAGUGAAAUAUUAAUAUAUAUGUAAGCAUUUUAUGAACAAGGAAGCAAGUUAUAAAUGCAUUAUCUUGUUAAUUUAGUCAUUUCACUAGGGGUGGGUCCAAUGUGGGCCUCCUUUGAGGUAGAC
rnacentral:lncRNA from 1 species